rnacentral:rRNA from 1 species
AUUGAACGCUGGCGGCAGGCCUAACACAUGCAAGUCGAGCGGAGCGGCGGACGGGUGAGUAAUGCCUAGGAAUCUGCCUGGUAGUGGGGGAUAACGUCCGGAAACGGGCGCUAAUACCGCAUACUAUCAGAUGAGCCUAGGUCGGAUUAGCUAUUUGGUGGGGUAAAGGCCUACCAAGGCGACGAUCCGUAACUGGUCUGAGAGGAUGAUCAGUCACACUGGAACGGAGACACGGUCCAGAAUCCUAAGGGAGGCAGAAUGGGGGAAGAGUGGACAAUGGGCGAAAGCCUGAUCCAGCCAGGCCGCGUGUGUGAAGAAGGUCUUCGGAUUGUAAAGCACUUUAAGUUGGGAGGCGUUACCAACAGAAGAAGCACCGGCUAACUGCGUGCCAGCAGCCGCGGUAAUC